rnacentral:rRNA from 1 species
UACAGAGGUCUCAAGCGUUGUUCGGAUUCAUUGGGCGUACAGGGUGCGUAGGUGGCGCCGUAAGUCAGGUGUGAAAUCUCGGGGCUCAACCCCGAAACUGCACUUGAUACUGCGGUGCUCGAGUACUGGAGAGGAGAUUGGAAUUUACGGUGUAGCAGUGAAAUGCGUAGAUAUCGUAAGGAAGACCAGUGGCGAAGGCGAAUCUCUGGACAGUUACUGACACUGAGGCACGAAGGCCAGGGGAGCAAACGGG